AUUGAACGCUGGCGGCAUGCCUUACACAUGCAAGUCGAACGGUAACAGGUCUUCGGAUGCUGACGAGUGGCGAACGGGUGAGUAAUACAUCGGAACGUGCCUAGUAGUGGGGGAUAACUACUCGAAAGAGUGGCUAAUACCGCAUGAGAUCUACGGAUGAAAGCAGGGGAUCGCAAAACCUUGUGCUACUAGAGCGGCCGACGGCAGAUUAGGUAGUUGGUGGGAUAAAAGCUUACCAAGCCGACGAUCUGUAGCUGGUCUGAGAGGACGAUCAGCCACACUGGGACUGACGCGCGGGGCAGAAUCCUACGGGAGGCAGCAGUGGGAAAUUUUGGAGAAUGCGCGGAAGCCUGAUCCAGCCAUGCCGCGUGAGUGAAGCAGUCAUUCGGGUUGGAAUGCUCUUUCGGCGGGGACGAAACGGUUCGUGCCAAAACCAAGGACUAAUGACGGUACCCGAAGAAGAAGCACCGGCUAACUACGUGCCAGCCGCCGCGGUAA
rnacentral:rRNA from 1 species